UGAUGAUUGACAAGACUGAAUGAUUAGGCUCCUCCUGAACCUACGUUUGGAACUUCAUUUUUUUUCCUCCAUCACC